UUGAGCAGAAAACAAACACCCAACUGAGUGGAAAACGUGGUUACAAUUUCAAAAUCCAUUUAUCAUCUCUUUUCAACAACUAAGAUCCCUUGAAGCUGUCCUCAGACAACCAUCACCUCUGGAUGUUCUACCACCACCAGACCUGCAGUAAUUCAGCUGAGUGUUUUUACAGGAGUUCAUCGUUGGUGCUGUUGUGGGGAAAUGACAUAGGGUAUAUCAUUCAAUAGUGUGUUUAUGUGAUACUUUUACUAUUUGCAAUCGAGUCAGCUUUAGCUAUCUUAUGCAUAUGUCUGCGUCUGUGUGAUGGGUUAACACAUUUGUAGUAGGCUACUGAGAUUAUUUAUUGAAAUGACCUUUGAACAGCAGUAAAUAUAGCAGAUUGUAACUUUAACAUAACACCUGUAAUGGAGACGAAGGGAGUCAGGAAGCAGGUGCAGGUGGUGAGUUUAACAUUAACAAACAUGGAGCGACACAAAACAAGAAUGGUGUCUGACAUGAAAACAGAACCAAUACAGCCUGGUAUACAAAAGCUACAGAGUACAGAGUACUAGAUAUAGGAAUAGUAAUCAGGGUAGUGAUUAAGUCCAGGUGUGUCUAAUGAUAGGGCGCAGGUGUUCUUUAUGAUGGGCUGCCAGGACCGGCGACGAGGAGCAGGAAUAGACGUGACAGUACACCGAUUAGAGGGAUGCCCCGAGGGCAAGGACGGGCCAGUCAGCAAAGGUAGAAAUCUUAGAUGUUGUAUCUCGAAUGUUGUCCAUCGGUACCCAACACCGCUCCUCUGGACCGUACCCCUCCCAGUCCACCAGGUACUGGAGCCAACCCCCACGAUGUCGGGAGUCCAGGAGGGAUCUGACGACAUAGGCGGGGCUUCCCUCGAUGUCCAGGGGAGGAGGACGGCUGUCGUGGUGGACGGCCUCAGUCAGGGGACCAAGAACCACCGGCCUGAGGAGGGAUCCGAUAGUUAGCGUGGAGCUGUAAUCUAAAUGUCACCUCAUUGACCCUCCAGAAGACCUUGGCAGGCAGAGUGGAAGGUUCCUGGUGGAGAGCCAGACACGAUCACCAAGAUGGAACACCGCCUCACUGCGGUGGCAAUCUGCCUGCUUCUUCUGACGGCGGACGGAACACUGGAGCCUCACUGCGGUGGCAAUCUGCCUGCUUCUUCUGACGGCGGACGGAACACUGGAGCCUCACGUGGGCAUCGUUCCAGAACUCUUCUGCUCGUUUCCAUAUUUUGUGAGCCUCUCCCUCUCCAGCACACAACUAAGAUCUGCAGCUUCUAGUGAACCGUCUAAGAGGAAGACAAUUAACAAAGUCAGAUAUGGCAACUGCUGGAAACAGACGUAGCAAGGAUGUUGACCAUGAUAUGGGACUAAAGUCUUCCUCUGCUCUGAAAAGCCCAACUCCAAGCACGGAAACGAGUACUCAGUCAGACAUUCAUGAUACGGAUUCAAGUGAUGACAGUAUGGAUUCACCACCUUUUAUUGAUGUCUUCAUCAGAUGCUCGAAUCAACCUCAGGUCACUCCAUCAGAACAUCAGCUCAUACAUGAAUGCAUAAAUACAUAAAUGAUCUGAAAACAUUGGCAGAUGAAUUUACAAUGGCAGCUGAAAAGAUCGAAUCGGAGAAAAAUAAAAGAGGGUCUCCUUACAAGAGCAAGGAGGCUGUUGGAGCAUAUGUGGCUGGGGGAGUGUGCGCCACAGUGGGUUUACUUUUAGUCCCCUUGACAGGGUUUGCCUCUAUUGCCGGUGCAGGGGCAGGCAUCACGUUGACUAUUUUGACUGCUGUUAUUCUUUACUUUAGAAUAAUUAUUAAUGACGUCACAAACCAAGAGACCUUGGCGGAUUAGGAGAAAAAGUUUUUGGUCAAGAGUGGACCAAUUGUGGAUCGUCUGCAUCGUAUCGAUGCAGAUAUCAAAGAAUUUGUUACAAUGUCUUCCAUGUCCCGAGCUGGAGAUGAGCCACAUCAGCUUAAGAGAGCAUCUGAACUGAGUGCUAGAAUUCUUAGUGAAGCAGUAGACUUGAAAAGGGAGUUAUCUGUCUUCUCAGGUAUUGUUAGUGAUAUCUUUGGGGAUGUCAGAAAGAUCGGCAGUGGCCGUGAUAUUGGUUCAGAGUUCAUGACAAGUAUCAAGAAAUCAUCUGAAUUGUGUCAGGAGACUAUAAGCAAAUUUGAAAAGAUGAGAGAAGAACUUGAAAAAAAUGUCUGAUUUAAAUUAGGAACAAAAUACAAAUGAAUAAUUUGUUGAAAUGAACCAAUUAGUUGCAAUAAAUCAUUAUCAUUACCUGGCAUGAUCUUGGGUAUCAUCCAGAUCGGUGAGAACAACGAUAAUGAGAGAGUAGGGAUUCAGCUAGGCUCAGUCAGGAAACUAUAGAUGACUAGAACAACUACAUGAGAAAAACAAUGUUAGAAAUGGAAGAAAAUUCUGAAAUUGAGUUAGAUUUUGUUUACUCAGCUUAUCAGCCCUCCAUCAUGCAGUGUAUUAUGUUACCCUAAGGAUAGUGUAAAUAAUUCAGCAUAUUAAUGUUUUAAAAAAUCUAUUUUGUAAAAUGUACUGUAUGUGAUGUUAUAUGAGUGACACAUUUCAAGGUAACUUUUAAUUUGACAUUUUUAUUAAAUGUAUUGAAGUGUAUCAAAAUGUACAGUCAGCUUGAACUAACUUUUGUAAAAUAUACAUGACGCGUGAGUGACAAGUGAACUUUUAAAUUAAUUUAUUUUGACAAAAUAUAUGUACAGUUAACUUGAACUAAAGAAAAAUAAAAUAAAUUCAUAUUUGUUUAACAAAUACUUGCUUUCAAUUUUACAUUCCCAUCACUAUUUGAAGUAUGUGUAACAUUGUAGCCUUGUUAGGGAAAGGUUUUGGGAUAUUAUGGUAUAGCUGUAGCAUUCUUUUGCUGGAAUGUACUAUGACUUGUUCCAAUAGCACCACAGGGCCUAGAUCAAGACUAGCCUGGCUGAAGUGCGUCACACAUGACUA